UGCAGUUCGUGGAGGGCUGCUUCAAAUUGUAUUUUAGUCAUGUUCCUUUGUGGCAUAAGGAGCUAAAUUAUUGGCCUCUUUAAUUCAAAACAUUAUUUGCCUCUUAAUUCAAAACAUUAUUUGCACCAGCAGUGUUUUUAGUGGAGCUGAAUAGUAAUAAUGCACUUCAUGUUCAAGUGACUAUUGGGACCCUUAUUUUUCAGAAUUGUAUCUCUUGCUUUUUUGCUCAAGGGAGAAACUUGGGUUGUCUAGAACUUUCUUGUUCACACCUUGCAACUCCAGAAGCUUGGCACCUGUUGUGGAAAGGUACUUAGCUUGAGUUGAAAAAACAGUAGCAGCUGAGUUGAAAGGGUUCAAAGUUGCUCACCUCCGCUGCUCUCCUAAUUUAUGCUUAUGGUGCUGGUGGCUUUCCUGCUUGGGGCAUUAAUUUGCUGAACUGUUGCUGUUUUGCUGAAUUGUUGCUGUUUAACUAUUUUGUCCUAAUUUCAUGAGCAGUUGCU